rnacentral:misc_RNA from 1 species
GAUGAAGAACGUAGUGAAAUGCGAUACUUGGUGUGAAUUGCAGAAUCCCGUGAACCAUCGAGUCUUUGAACGCAAGUUGCGCCCGAAGCCACUAGGCCGAGGGCACGCCUGCCUGGGCGUCACACGCCGUUGCCCCCCCAUCUACUCCUUCGGGAUUGCGGGGGGGCGGAUGAUGGCCUCCUGUGCGCCUAGCCGCGCGGUUGGCAUAAAUACCAAGUCCUCGGCGACGCACGCCACGACAAUCGGUGGUUGCGAAACCUCGGUUGCCCGUCGUGUGCGUUCGUCGCGCAUCGAGGGCUCGAAAAAAUGCUCGGCUCCGGCUGGGCUUUCAACGCGACCCCAGGUCAGGCGGGGUUACCCGCUGAAUUUAAGCAUUUCAAUAAGCGGAGGA